rnacentral:rRNA from 1 species
CAGUCGAGGGGCAGCAUCAUCAAAGCUUGCUUUGAUGGAUGGCGACCGGCGCACGGGUGAGUAACACGUAUCCAACCUGCCGACAACACUGGGAUAGCCUUUCGAAAGAAAGAUUAAUACCGGAUGGCAUAGUUUUCCCGCAUGGGAUAAUUAUUAAAGAAUUUCGGUUGUCGAUGGGGUUGCGUUCCAUUAGGCAGUUGGCGGGGUAACGGCCCACCAAACCUACGAUGGAUAGGGGUUCUGAGAGGAAGGUCCCCCACAUUGGAACUGAGACACGGUCCAAACUCCUACGGGAGGCAGCAGUGAGGAACAUUGGUCAAUGGACGAGAGUCUGAACCAGCCAAGUAGCGUGAAGGAUGACUGCCCUAUGGGUUGUAAACUUCUUUUAUACGGGAAUAAAGUGAGCCACGUGUGGCUUUUUGUAUGUACCGUAUGAAUAAGGAUCGGCUAACUCCGUGCCAGCAGCCGCGGUAAUACGGAGGAUUCGAGCGUUAUCCGGAUUUAUUGGGUUUAAAGGGAGCGUAGGCGGGUUGUUAAGUCAGUUGUGAAAGUUUGCGGCUCAACCGUAAAAUUGCAGUUGAUACUGGCGACCUUGAGUGCAACAGA